UUGAUGAAAUGGGUGGAUAUGGUCGACCCGGCGGCGUGACUCUUCCCCAAUCCCCAUGCGAGUCGCGACCCUUGCGCCGCCAGGCUCCCUCCCACUUCGGCACGGAGGCGAGCGAGCAGGUGGCGGCGGGCGCGCCGUCCUCCUCCCAGCUGCAGCGACUCUGCAACUCGCCCUCCCCUCCGGUAAGCUUCUCGUCUCUCCGGCCGGCCGACGUCCUCCCCUGCUUGCUGGUAAGUCUUGCGCCUGGGCCUUUCUUCAAUCUCAAUGCGGGAUUGGGUUGCCUAGUUGGACAGCCGAUAAGGCCAGCAGAUUCCGUCACGCGGAGAACUGGAUCACGCCUUCACUGAAGCACCUGCUCGACUCGUGUAGGCCCUGCUUGCUGCUGCUCCAAUUCUACCCUAUCACUGUCAGCCUUGCAGGCAAUAACCCAUCCGCGCUGGGCUCACUGUUGAAAUUGCUAGCACCUUGCAGGCAAUAACCCUAUCGUGUAGGUGAUUUGAUUAUUUGUGUACAAUUUAGUUAUCCCUUCAUUGUUGUGCCUGUGAGAUGGUUACUUGUUAUGAUAGGUCAACCUCUGCAGUUCUGCUUUUAUUUAGUUGCAAUGAAUAGUACUUUUAGUUGCUUGCAAAAAAUGAUAGAAUGAAAAUGGAGCAAGUAUUCCAUGAAUAGUACCCAAUGUCUGUAGUGAUCUACUUUUCACUAAGGGUCUAGUCAUCUAGAGUUGUGUGGUACAUCACGGUUUCUACAUUGUGCAAAUGUUUGUCUGAACUUAAUUCAUUUUUUGGUUUAUGCAGUUCCUCCAGAUAUGGGCAUUGAACCUUGUGUUGGCCUGUUAUAAAACUCUAUGGUGAUGAUCACAGCAAUUUAGUUAUGCACAAGUGAUCCAGAUCUUAGCUGCAUGGUGGCACUGAACCUUGUUAAUACCUACUGCUGAGUUUCUUUCAUAAACUUUUGGAGUUCAUAUUUGACUGCUAGUGUGUAGCUUGCCAACUUCUUGUUGUUAAAUUCUUGUUUCUAGUUGGAUAGAUUCUGUGCAGCUACAUGUUUAAUUUGUAUGGGGUUAAAUCAUGUUGUAUGUGCUCUUGCUGAUUUUGUGAGAAUCUCCCUACAAUGGGCCGACCCAUGAUGCCCAUUGGGCCAUCAAGGCCAUAGGCAAAACAUUGAUUUGGGUCGGCCCAUGGUCUCAGAAGUUGGCCUUGAGGCCAUGGGGGCCAGGUCUGGGCCGGCCCAUUCUCAUCUUGAAUAUUUUUGCAGAAAACACUGAAUUGCAUUUGCGAUACAACCAAAGCUUGAAAAAAUACUUGUAUUGGACUCCGCUGAUUUUGAGUCGAGCACAUACAGUGAAUUCGUAUCCAUCCUAAACAUGUUAGCAAAAUUGUUAUCUCUACAUGGACAUCCUACUAAAUCUUUCAGAUAUAAAUAACUUCUUAUUUCUUUUUCAUAAAAAAAUAGGGCUUACAAGCACUACAUUUACAAAGGAGGAAUUCAUCCCCCAAAUAGAAAAGAAAAAAUGGUGAUGCGCAUAAACUUUCCAUGCCACAAGCAACCUGCAGGUUCCGUGUACUGUGGAUACUACAUGUGUGAGCACAUGAGGCAGCUCGAGAGAUACACAAAAGAUCUCGAAUGUGAUCAACGGGAAACCCACGAAGGUCCACUCCAUGAGCAACAACUUUUCCAUGUAGUCGACAAUUUAUGUCAUUUUAUAUUGCAUAAAGUGGUCCAUAUAGAUGGAGAUUUUAUUCACCCAGAGCAUGAACUGUCAGCUGACAGAAAAUAUGAAAGCCUCCAUCAGUGGGACAAUCAGCAACUCCGAGUCGGCUAUAGUAGUGUUACUCAGGGGAAAUAGGACAAAACCAUGCAAUGAAUUCUAUGCGCACUUUGAUGAUGUAUGCACUCUAAUGAUACACUGUAAUGAUUGUAAUGAUACUUCUAUAUGAUUUUAUUUUGAAUUUAUAA